AUCUGAAGGAAUACCGAUGGCGAAGGCAGCCACCUGGGCCGACACUGACGCUCAUGUACGAAAGCGUGGGUAGCAAACAGGAUUAGAUACCCUGGUAGUCCACGCCGUAAACGAUGUCUACUAGCAGCUCGCCUCGUUUAGAGGGGUUUUGCGCAGCUAACGCGUUAAGUAGACCGCCUGGGGAGUACGGCCGCAAGGUUAAAACUCAAAUGAAUUGACGGGGGCCCGCACAAGCGGUGGAGCAUGUGGUUUAAUUCGAUGCAACGCGAAGAACCUUACCAUCCCUUGACAUCCAGAGAACUUACUAGAGAUAGUUUGGUGCCUUCGGGAACUCUGAGACAGGUGCUGCAUGGCUGUCGUCAGCUCGUGUUGUGAAAUGUUGGGUUAAGUCCCGCAACGAGCGCAACCCUUAUCCUUAGUUGCUAGCAGUUAGGCUGAGAACUCUAAGGAGACUGCCGGUGACAAACCGGAGGAAGGUGGGGACGACGUCAAGUCAUCAUGGCCCUUACGGGAUGGGCUACACACGUGCUACAAUGGCAAGUACAAAGGGUUGCGAACUUGCGAGAGUAAGCGGAUCCCAUAAAGCUUGCCGUAGUCCGGAUUGGAGUCUGCAACUCGACUCCAUGAAGUCGGAAUCGCUAGUAAUCGUAGAUCAGAAUGCUACGGUGAAUACGUUCCCGGGCCUUGUACACUCCGCCCA
rnacentral:rRNA from 1 species